AAACUGGUCCUGGCGGGACUUGCACUGCAAUGUCUCGUCCCUUGUGUGGCGUAAUGUGAAAUCAUUGAAAAGCUUGUGUGAAUUGAAGGCUUGGCUUAAUACUGUGUUAUAUCUCAGCUUAUCAUUAUUAAGUAUUUACCAUUUGACGUUAAAAAACAACAAUACUUCACAGAGAUAUCCAAGUAUAACAGAGGCUUCCAUACUGUAGCUAAUGAUCAACAGAGAAUUACCAGCCUUUCUCUGUGUGUCAAGGAGAGCCCUUAGGGAAACGUUCGUGUGCGUGUGUGUGUGUGUGUGUGUGGUAUGGAAAGAUAUAAUUGCUUAAGUACAGCCUCUCUCUCUCUCUCUCUCUACGUAUUUUGCUUGUCUGCCCUCGUGUGUGUGUGUGUGUGUGUGUGUGUAUCUCAUUUAUUUAUUUAAGUUAUUUUUCCACAGUGAUGUAACGCCCUUAGGGAAACGUUCGUGUGCGUGUGUGUGUGUGUGUGUGUGUGUGUGGUAUGGAAAGAUAUAAUUGCUUAAGUACAGCCUCUCUCUCUCUCUCUCUCCGUAUUUUGCCUGUCUGCCCUCGUGUGUGUGUGUGUGUGUGUGUGUAUCUCAUUUAUUUAUUUAAGUUAUUUUUCUUCUUCACGCAGAUAGUAUUUGACGAACACAACACACCACGUGGAGAGAAGCAAGGUGUGGAGUACCCAAGCCUCUCACAGUCCAUGCUAGUAGACUCACCCUGCAUGUGGAGAUCUUCCAAAAUGCACGGAGGUUAUUCCAGAGCUGCAGGACAGAGUACUUGAGGCCAUUGGUGAACAGAAAGCUGAGGUUGAACAAAGCCAAGAAUUGAUAGCUGCCCAAGGUGUAAGCAAGAUUCACAAUGAUGAGGUCAUUGUGACGUGUGCAAUGUGUCCACUGGUCUUGGCCUUCCUGACCAAGGCAGCCACACAAAGGAAAUUCCACGUUAUUGUUGCCGAACGUGCCCCUAAAUAUGAUGGUCACCCAGUGGCAAAAGCUUUAUGUACUGCUGGAAUUGAGACAACAUUAAUUCAAGACUCUGCAGUGUUCCCCAUCAUGUCACGUGUCAACAAGGUCAUCAAAGGUCAUCGUUGGCACCGAGACGGUGGUGACCAACGGAGGCAUUGAGACCUUUGUUGGUGCAGCCUCUCUUGCCUCACCACCAAAGUUUUAUUCUGUUCCACUGUAUGUGUGCACUCCCACAUACAAAUUUAGCUUGAUGGGCUGUGAAGAAAUAAGCCACCAAACCACCACUUCUAUUAUCCCAGAGGGAACAAAGUUUUGGCCGUCUGUAAAUACUGCGCUGACUCAACUAGAUUACGUUCCUCCAGAAAAUGUCACCAGUUUGAUAACUAACA